GCGUGCGCCCCACCCAUAAGGCCAGGCUCGGGGUUCCAGGAGGUCGGUGAAUAAAUGGCCAGUGUGGUCUUUGGGCUCCUCGGACCUGUCUGUCUUGUGAGGAGGGAUGUAGAGAAAAAACAUUUGCAGUUUUUUUCAGUUUUUCCAAGUCUGUCAUUUUUUUACCAUAAAAAUCUAUUUACAGACUUAGAGGACCCAAGAUAACCAGCUGUCGCCAUGCUUCAGUGAGCCCCGAAAUCAAAGAUGGACGGGAUAAUGUGUGCCCGAGGCCACUGGCUUCAGUGGCGUCUCAGCCUCCUCCUUGUUCCCUCUGUGGCUGGAGCCAGGCUGCUGUGACACACUCCACACUUGCCCCGGUGUGACAGCACUUGCUGUGCCAGGUCCGGAACUGAAGGCUGAUGUGAUUCUCUGAACACCUCCUGAGUGGGUACUGCUUACUCCACGUGACAGGAACACUGGACUGGAGGAGCCAACAUCGAGUCAGGCACCCAAGUGAGAAGAGGCUCCACAUCCGGGCAUCAGCCAGGAGGCCACACUUCUGGAAGCUGUGCUCAGGAAGGCCCCAAGCAGCCGAGCCGCCCUUUGGAGCCAGAUGCAGGUCAGAGCGUUACUGGCAAGCUUCAUUAUGGGUUACUGUUGUUACUAUGAUUGGUGUGAGUUAUUAUAAGGCAUUAUCUUUGGCUUGUAUGUUUUGUGAUAGGUCUGUUUUGGUUGCUGCCACAGUGAUGGAUGGGAAGGUUGUUGGGUGUGUAUUUUACUUCCUGUUUUGUGAAUUUUUCUCAUGGGAUUUAUGGAAUUCUGGUGAUCAUAGACAAAGACUUCCUAGUCUGUUUGAACAGUUAAUAGAGCUGGAGGCGCAGGACACAGGAGUUAGAAUGUAGGAGAGCUUCCCGUAGGUAAGGGCCCAAUCACAGCCAGACUGGAACAGAU
rnacentral:lncRNA from 1 species